UCGAGCGGUAGAGAGAAGCUUGCUUCUCUUGAGAGCGGCGGACGGGUGAGUAAUGCCUAGGAAUCUGCCUGGUAGUGGGGGAUAACGUUCGGAAACGGACGCUAAUACCGCAUACGUCCUACGGGAGAAAGCAGGGGACCUUCGGGCCUUGCGCUAUCAGAUGAGCCUAGGUCGGAUUAGCUAGUUGGUGAGGUAAUGGCUCACCAAGGCGACGAUCCGUAACUGGUCUGAGAGGAUGAUCAGUCACACUGGAACUGAGACACGGUCCAGACUCCUACGGGAGGCAGCAGUGGGGAAUAUUGGACAAUGGGCGAAAGCCUGAUCCAGCCAUACCGCAUGAGUGAUGAAGGCCCUUGGGUUGUAAAGCUCUUUUAGUGGGGAAGAUAAUGACGGUACCCACAGAAGAAGUCCCGGCUAACUCCGUGCCAGCAGCCGCGGUAAU
rnacentral:rRNA from 1 species